rnacentral:rRNA from 1 species
GUGAGGAAUAUUGGUCAAUGGACGAGAGUCUGAACCAGCCAAGUCGCGUGAAGGAAGACGGUUCUAUGAAUUGUAAACUUCUUUUGUGCAGGAAUAAAGUGGGUUACGUGUAACCUUUUGUAUGUACUGUACGAAUAAGGAUCGGCUAACUCCGUGCCAGCAGCCGCGGUAAUACGGAGGAUCCGAGCGUUAUCCGGAUUUAUUGGGUUUAAAGGGUGCGUAGGUGGAUUGAUAAGUCAGAGGUGCAAGUUUGCAGCUUAACUGUAAAAUUGCCGUUGAAACUGUCGGUCUUGAGUGCAAAUGAGGUAGGCGGAAUGUGUUGUGUAGCGGUGAAAUGCUUAGAUAUAACACAGAACUCCGAUUGCGAAGGCAGCUUACUGGGAUGCAACUGACACUGAUGCACGAAAGCGUGGGUAUCAAACAGGAUUAGAAACCCUGGUAGUCC